GACGAACGCUGGCGGCGUGCCUAAUACAUGCAAGUCGAGCGAAUCUGAUGGGAGCUUGCUCCUUGAUGAUUAGCGGCGGACGGGUGAGUAACACGUGGGUAACCUGCCUGUAAGACUGGGAUAACUCCGGGAAACCGGGGCUAAUACCGGAUAACUUUUUUCUUCGCAUGAGGGAGAAUUGAAAGGUGGCUUCGGCUAUCACUUACAGAUGGACCCGCGGCGCAUUAGCUAGUUGGUGAGGUAACGGCUCACCAAGGCGACGAUGCGUAGCCGACUUGAGAGGGUGAUCGGCCACACUGGGACUGAGACACGGCCCAGACUCCUACGGGAGGCAGCAGUAGGGAAUCUUCCGCAAUGGACGAAAGUCUGACGGAGCAACGCCGCGUGAGUGAUGAAGGUUUUCGGAUCGUAAAACUCUGUUGUUAGGGAAGAACAAGUAUCGUUCGAAUAGGGCGGUACCUUGACGGUACCUAACCAGAAAGCCACGGCUAACUACGUG
rnacentral:rRNA from 1 species